rnacentral:rRNA from 1 species
UACAGAGGGUGCGAGCGUUGUCCGGAAUCACUGGGCGUAAAGGGCGCGUAGGUGGUGACCUAAGCGUGCGGUGAAAGCCCGAAGCUCAACCUCGGGUCGGCCGUGCGAACUGGGUCACUGGAGCAGAAUAGAGGCAGGUGGAAUUCCGGGUGUAGCGGUGGAAUGCGUAGAGAUCCGGAAGAACACCGGUGGCGAAGGCGGCCUGCUGGGUUCUGGCUGACACUGAGGCGCGACAGCGUGGGGAGCAAACAGG